rnacentral:snRNA from 1 species
ACACCUGUUUGGCUGAAAAACAAAGUGGUUUUCCCAGGGCGAGGUUUAUCUAUUGCACUUUGGAUGUGCUGACCCCUGUGGUUUCCCCAAAUGUGGGAAAAUCAACUGCCUAAGUGGGGGACUGUGUUUGUGGUUUCCCCUG